CAUCUCUGCCACAAUAAUCCUCUGAUUCUCCUGAAGAAUCCUUACAAGCAGGAUGAUGUUGAACACCCUCCUCUUUGUUGCUGGAUCGCAUACCAUGCCAUAUGACAAAGACAUCCACAUCACUUCUGUUUUUUUGUUUUCUUUGCUUCUGCUACUGAAAAAAUGACAAUAAUAGUAACACUUACAAUUUUUCAUGACUACAUGUAAUAUUAAUAAUAAUUUCCUCACCUGACCACUCCUCUACAUCACAGACCAAAGUCUUCCAACUGGUUUCCGGUCACUGCCAGUUCCAUGGAUUCUGUUUUGCAACUUGCUUUGCAGAGCUGUUGUGGUCUUCUGAUAUCAACAGGUCAGCAAGAUGGCCAAAUUGUUGAACAUCUGCUAAUUCCAGCACAUGACCAUGAUAGUUACAGUAGCAUGUCUGGUCACUGCAAUCCUAUAGAAGAAAUAUUGCACUGUUCAACCUCUUUCCCAAGAGUAAAACCACACAUAUCCUUGUAUGCCUCACUCCAUUUCACAGUCACUGGAGCAAGGCCCUCUCACAGUUGGGAAAAUUCGAGUUCCUUUGAGCCUUGACUGAUUCCAGAGUGGUCUUGGCCUUCCUUACAUGGCGGUGCUUCCUGCAGAUCACCAAGUUGUCAUCAAGACUUGAGCUUAUAAUUGAGAUCCUGAUGAUCAAUCUGAGUAUCAAGGUCUCAUGGUGAUAGGCAGAAACAGACUUGUGGAAAACCGCAGUGAACCUUGGGAUCGCAA
ensembl:processed_transcript